CUUUGUAGGUGUGAGCAUCUUGAUUCUGGUUCUGCUUGUGGCUUCCCUAGCUUCUGACCCUUUGCUUGUUCUUGGACUUCAAACCUGCCAGCUCCUAAUGGACUGAUCCCUGGCUUCUGAUUUCCUGCUUGACUUUGCCACAGUGUGCUUCCUACCACACCUGACCUGCCCAGGUAUCCUGCUGCUGACUGCAGACAAUGGACAAAACCUACAAAGAUUAUUACUCCUGCUUCCAUCUCACCCUCAGCUCUGCUCCAGCUUAUCCGACAUACCCAAGAUUACACUCUGUCAUCAGUCCAGAAUAAUGAAUGUAGCUAUUGAGGCUUUAGUCAAGGAUGUUAUAUGUUGCUAUUCCUUUCCUGUGGCUUCAUCCAUCCAUCCUGCAGCAGUAGCCUUUUAGAAGCUGAAACUAUGUGGAUGGGGUUAGUCAAGUGGGUCCUUUCCAAAGGAUUAUCACCCACCUGGGAGGGAGGGAAGCAGUGAGGAUGACACAGGAGACUGUUUUUUUCAUAGGAUUCCACCUUCCAAGGUUACUACAAUGCUGUGGGUUGAAGUCACAUAAAAAUUGUUUCUGGUCCACUGUAGUCAUAUAUAAAAGGGCUCUUAGUUCUUUGUAUCUUAUUGGCUUUAGGUGGUGCUUUGCAGAGGCACCAUUAAAAAAAGAUCCUGAGUUUCA